rnacentral:rRNA from 1 species
ACAUGGGGCUAAAUAUUCUAAAGGCAUCAUCCCAUCUAAUCUUGGAAGUGAAGCAGGGUCAGCCUUAUUAGUACUUGGAUGGGAGAUGGUCAAUGAAUACAAGGUGCUGUAUGCA